CUAUUUUCCAGAAGAUCCAGAGCGAGGGUUGUCAAGCAUAGCACCUAGCCGGUAGCGGUAAAACUUGAUGAAACAUUGUGCAAUUGCAGGAGGGCCUCAUGACUUGCAGCGUAUACCCAUGCACUAGUCAACAGGAAACCAUGACACUUAGCCAUGAGGCUGACAAUGGGUGCGGAUGUGGCAAAACACAGCCAGAUAUGUUUGGCUGAUGGGGUUAGAUGACUGAGUCGGGCUUCGAUUCUUGGCCGUACCAAGUGAUGUUGUGUCCUUGGGCAAGGCAUUUCACACUACUUUUCUCAGGAAGAAUGUCCCUGUACUUACUGUCUGUAAAUGAGCACCAGAUGGCGCUCCAGCACAGUCUACCUGAUGACCAUAGACCUGCAUAGGAUGUGAUGCUGCCUGAUGCCAAGUAUGCCCGUAACGGAAGUUGUUGUACCAAGAGCGGUUUAAAGAGGAACUGAAGCCCCACCCAUGGUGGUGCGCAUGCAGACUGGGGGCAACUUUAGAAAGGUGUUUGGGGAACUAUUCCAGCCAACAUGUCCUGCCGCAAAUCCCAUUCAAUGAUUGGCAUCUGUGUGGUUGGAUAUUUUUAAUAAAGUAUUUUGAGUCACUUGA